UGUGAACACUUUUCUGAGGCAAAGAAAGAACUGAUAUGAAGAAGAAGAAUAUCAGGACUAUCCAGACUCUUAGAUGGUUCCUGAUACUAGUUUUUGAGGCGAGACCGCCUCCCUUUUUGGGAACUACCAUGUUGUAGUUCAAUAACUUAGUUUAAAGACAAUAUUUAUAAUUCUGCUGUUAUGUAGUCAUUAAACCUUAGAUAUUUUGGCUUGUAUGACUAUUUAUGCCCUGUGAGGCAUGACUACUACUACUUUGUAUAAUUAUGCUGACUUACUUAUUAUAUCUAUCUUGAGGUAUUUCAGUAGAA